UUUCCUACGGGGGGCAGCAGUGAGGAAUAUUGGUCAAUGGGCUUACGCCUGAACCAGCCAAGUCGCGUGAGGGAAGACUGCCCUAUGGGUUGUAAACCUCUUUUGUCAGGGAGCAACGCCGGCUACGUGUAGCCGGACUGAGAGUACCUGAAGAAAAAGCAUCGGCUAACUCCGUGCCAGCAGCCGCGGUAAUACGGAGGAUGCGAGCGUUAUCCGGAUUUAUUGGGUUUAAAGGGUGCGUAGGCGGUUUGAUAAGUUAGAGGUGAAAUGUCGGGGCUCAACCCCGAAACUGCCUCUAAUACUGU
rnacentral:rRNA from 1 species